GACGAACGCUGGCGGCGUGCCUAAUACAUGCAAGUUGAGCGCUGAAGGUUGGUACUUGUCCCAACUGGACGAGCAGCGAACGGGUGAGUAACGCGUGGGGAAUCUGCCUUUGAGCGGGGGACAACAUUUGGAAACGAAUGCUAAUACCGCAUAAAAACUUUAAACACAAGUUUUAAGUUUGAAAGAUGCAAUUGCAUCACUCAAAGAUGAUCCCGCGUUGUAUUAGCUAGUUGGUGAGGUAAAGGCUCACCAAGGCGAUGAUACAUAGCCGACCUGAGAGGGUGAUCGGCCCCAUUGGGACUGAGACACGGCCCAAACUCCUACGGGAGGCAGCAGUAGGGAAUCUUCGGCAAUGGACGAAAGUCUGACCGAGCAACGCCGCGUGAGUGAAGAAGGUUUUCGGAUCGUAAAACUCUGUUGGUAGAGAAGAACGUUGGUGAGAGUGGAAAGCUCAUCAAGUGACGGUAACUACCCAGAAAGGGACGGCUAACUACGUG
rnacentral:rRNA from 1 species